rnacentral:lncRNA from 1 species
GGAAAACCAGUUUCCAGUUCGUUGUAUUAUCUGGCAAUCCAGGAGAAACCGAUAAUCGGAACUCUGGAGGUUGGAGGUUUUGAAAUCAGACCGAAGGCCAAGCCGGACAAGAAGCAGAGUCCUAUCUUAGGACGAGAUUUCCUUGACAAAUAUAAACCAUGGUCUGGAAAUCAGGAAAUGGAGAUACCAUUGGACGCCAAGAGUGAUGAUCCAAUGACAAGUCCAUUUCGAUAUACAUCUCGUGGGAUGUUAUACGAAAAUACAAAGCAGAAUAUUUUGCUGCUUAUGUGGAUUCAGGAGCAGGAAUCUGACAGCAAAACGAGGAGUCUUUCCACAGAAGUGGAAGAAGAUCUACCUCGAAUUGCAGGAAGGGAUUUCUCCAAAAGAUUUUCUCUUAUCAAAAGAGUAAAACAGACGGAAAUAUUGAUCGGCGGAGCAGGACAGACACCUUGGUACAAGGUCAAAACUCCACCAAUUUAUUUCCAUGAUACCGGAGCAGAAUAUUAUUCGGAAUAAUUUUCUGCAAAGCUUCAAGAGGUACAUACAGACAAUGAAGCCAGGAGGCUAGUGUUCACAACCAAUUGUGACACAAAAUCAUUGUCAAAGGCUCAGGAGCUUCAUCGUCAUGCCAAUCAAUUCGCAGCAAGCGUGGUGAUGAUGGCAGACUCCGGGACCCCAAAUGAAGGAUCAAAGGAGAUUCGGGAAGUUUUGCUCAAAUGCAGAACUGAGGGAUUCCAAUCUCUCCGAGGAGAAAUCAAUCCUCAAAGUUCCUGAUAUCACAAAAGAUAUCAGGAAGAAGAACAGGUGUCCAUGCCGAACGUCAAAAGGAGAAUCCAGAAGUGUUACCACGAGGAUCCUUUGGCAUGGUGGGACAAGAACCAGCUCAGAGCAACCUUGAAAGUUAAAACUGGAAAGGAGCAUGAGUUCGUAAGGUCAACCUAUCCUGAUGAACCCUCAAGAUCAACAGGAUAUGAUGAGUAUAAUCAAGGAACACCUUGAUUUAAAGCUGAUCGAAGAAGGAAGAUCACCCUACAGCAGUCCUGGAUUUCUGGUGAGAAAUCAUGGGGAGAUCAAGCGAGGAAAACCAAGAUUGGUCAUUAAUUAUAAAGGGAUUAAUGACAUUCUUGAGUUUGACGGAUAUUUCAUCCCAAGCAGAGAACACCUCAUCAACUGCAUCAGAAGUGCAAGGGUAUUCUCAAAGUUCGAUUGCAAAUCAGGUUUCUACCAGAUUCGCAUGGAGGAAGGGAGUAAGAAGUUCACAGCCUUCUCAACUCCACAAGGACAUUAUGUCUGGAAUGUCAUGCCAAUGGGGUUAGCCAACGCGCCUCAGAUAUUCCAAAGGAAGAUGGAUAAUCUCUUCAAAGAUUAUUCUUCGUUUAUGUUUGUUUAUAUUGAUGACAUCCUUAUUGCAUCAAAAAACAUUCAUGAACAUGUCAAGCAUCUGGAGAUCUUUGCGGAUGUUUGCCAACAAGAAGGACUAGUGCUGUCAGAAAAGAAGGCAGUCAUAGCCACCCAGAAGAUGGAGUUUCUGGGAAUCGAGAUCGAUGAAUCUGGAAUCAUUCUACAAGAACAUAUUGUGGAGAAGGUCCAGAAUUUUCCAGAAGAUCUCAAAGAAAAGAAGCAGCUCCAAAGCUUUCUCGGAGUUGUUAACUUUGCAGGAAUGUUUAUCAAAAAUCUUGCAGAGUACCGGAAAGUCUUCAGUCCAUUACUGAAGAAAGAUGUUCCAUUCAUAUGGAAGGAGGAACAUCGGGAGGGUAUGAAGAAGUUAAAAGAGAUUUGUAAAAAUCUCCCAAAACUUUCAAUACCACAAGACGAGGAUGACCUGGUCCUCUAUACAGACGCGAGUGAUUUCUGGUGGGCAGCAGUACUCACAAAGAUCACCCCUUAUGGAGAAGAACCUUGCAGAUACUGUAGCGGUCUUUUCUCCGACGACGAAGCUGUGCGAUGGCACAUCAACGAGAAAGAAUUCUUUGCAGUGCGAAAGGCGUUUAAAAAAUGGCCGCUUUUCUUACUUGCUAAAAAAUUCGUUUUGAAAGUUGAUAACACUAACGUUAAAGCUUUCUUAACUAAAAAGAUUGAAUCUAAACCUGAAAAGGCUAGAUUGAUUAGAUGGCAAGCAGAAUGCCAAUAUUAUGAUUAUGAUAUUGUCAUUUUGAAAUCUGAUCAGAAUGUUCUUGCAGAUUUCCUUACAAGGGAUGGAGCUCCCUGAAGUGGAGGCCAUCGAGGCAAUACAGGCGCAGCUCUUCGAGAGUCUAGAGCUGCUACAACAAGAAUGGCAGAAGUGUGUUCUACACACUAAACAAGCAGGAAAGAUACAAGCGGCUGAUGAAGCCAAAGUAUCUAGCCAAAUCGAUGUCUGUUUCAUGAAGAUGUUCAAUCUUCAGGAAGCAACUGAAAAGCCGCUCUUGCGCGCAGUCCGUGAAAAUCGGGCUAAAGCAAUGCUUUCCGUACAGGGCGGAUUACCUGUAGCAGGGGAUUCAAGUACCCCUAGCCCAAGUCCUGAGAGAAUGGCUUCACAGCCGGACGCUCGAGGAAAAGAUGUUGUUAAGGGGUCACUCCCUGAAUCAACAUGUCAACCCUCCACCUCUGGGGUAAAAGAGGGAGAGAUCAGCCUUAGGCCCAUGACAGGCCAAGUUAAGGUUGAUACUAAUCUUAUUGUUUCUUCUCCUUCUUGGCAGAUGUAUCAAGACAGGUGGGAGAAACUUCUCACAAGAAGGGGCAUUAAUCCGGGAAAUUGCCGGGUUGAUGUUGCAGGAAAAUAUCCAAGGGUUUGGUUCACUCCAGGAGCCAAUCCAAACGAUGUUAAGGAAUGGUAUGAAUUUGGGGCAUUAGCUUCAGUUUAUACCACUUCUCCGGCCUUCACCGAAAUCAAGGGUCUACCUAAAUGGAUCCAGAAAACGGUGUUCGACGCAUGGGAGAACAACGAGUCCCUCAAAAGGGGAGAUGUUCUGGAAUUGUACUUCUUCAGUGCAGCUCCAGAGCCAGUGGGCAAAGGAAUCUACGAAGCCUUCCAUUUCAUCAAGCUUCGGAGACCAGAUACAGGAGCCUUGAACCGGAUCAAAGUUCCUGAGUUUAAUGCCGCCAUCGUCUCAACAUUCACGGAGGAACAAAUCUCCACGAGACGAGCAUGGGGUCUUUGGGUCUGUCUCACAGAGAUGGACAAAAUGAAGUCCAGAUUCAAGUUCUUUCAGAGCUCAGAUCUGGGAACGUUCCUGGUCAACACCAUGACAGGAACCACAACCCAGUUUGCCGAAAACUCUUUCGAGAACAAGAGGCAAACAAUUUGGGGAAACAAGAUAGCGGGGAGCAAAGAGACUCGUCGCAAAUUCUGCAAUAUGGCUCAUGUGAGCCAUUGGAUCGAGAGGAUCUGCGACCAAUGCUCGUCGCAGAAAGAGCCAGAAUUCGGUAAAGGUUUCCUCCCGAAACCUGACAGAAGGAGGUUCCGGUCUGAUGAACAUGACGAGCGUCAGACUCCAAAGGGAAGAACUCCUCGGGCACCAAAAAAGUAAGGUGGCCGACAAAACAAAGUGAAUCAUGUGAUUCACAGCAAGGAUCGCACCCACAAAAGAAACGACAAAAGUGGGUGGAAGAACAGGAGGACCACUCAAAGCUCCAACAAAAUGAGUGGAAGGAAAAGAGCCGGCCCCUACCAGCAUUAUCACAAGAGAUAGCAGGGCCAGCACCAUGUGAUCCACCAACAGUGUCGGCAAUCAAGGCCGACAAAAGAAGGUGGAGUCAUUUCAACAAGCGGCCACGAGGAGGAAUCCAGGCCACAACCAGAAUAUAGAGGGGUCAAACCUCUAUAUAAACCAAGUGCUGGAGAGAAGAAGAUCAUCCGAAAAUUUCACAACAUUUUCACACACCACUUCCUCUCUCUAGAAAUUAUCGUUUGUAAUUUUUUUAAAUUCUUGUUUUCAAAGUUUUUCCGUUUUAGUUUUAGUUCUUUUUAUUUUUAUGUACACAAGUAUUAGCUACUAUGGUAGCUAAAACAAGUUAGUCUCCUCCUUGGGGUAUUUUAUGAAAUAAAUUAAAUUUUAUAUAAUUCCUCUAUAAACACUUUGUUUUUGUCCAACUAUUCCGGGUUGAGUAAAAAUAUUUUCUUUAUUUUUCCAACAAUAUUUAGUCGGCACUUAGUGAAGGAGAAGGGUUGCAACCAUCCUUGCGAUGUGUGGUUGGUGCGUGCCGGGGAGGCAGACGAGCCGUAAAAGCAACAAGACCGACUCCUGAAGAAGACCAGUCACAAAGGUAUAAUGUUGGUUAAAUUUAAGAAUUAUUUUGAAGUGUUACGGAAGCAUGUUGGGCCUGAUUAAAUGUUAGACUGUUAAGAUCAAAAUGAUUUGCUAAUGACUUGAUGGUAUAUGCUGGAAUUUCCUCGUGCCCGAUAGAUUACUUUGUGAUCUGGGUCUGGACUGUGAGACAACGCCACGUACCUUUGAGCAAAAACAGUUUAAUAAAAUUUGGUUUGCAUGUAUUAAUUAAGCAUGAUUGUAGACGAAGGGUUGUUUGGUCAUUUGAUUGGCUUUUGGUUACUAAAGUCUUACUUUAAACCUUGUGGCUAUAUAAGUCUCUAACUAUGUGAGUUUGGCUAAAUGUGUCUUUUCCUCUUAAUUUAAUAUCAACUAUAUAACAUUGACGAUCUAUUUCAUAAUGUCUUUGUCGAAACUUAUUGAUGUGAUAUUUCAACAUUAUGAAAGUUCAUUGCUUCAAGUAUUUUUAUUUUCCCUUAAUACUUAUUUUGGCUAGUAUAAUAAAUUGGUUUUUUGCACUACUCAUAUUUCAAUACAUGCAUUCUUAUAGAUUCUCUCUAAAUCUUUUAGAAUAAUAAUCAAUAAAGUUUUAGAUAAAGUCAACCAAAAACUUGGAGACUAAACUAGACUUUCCCAUUCAAAUUACGUGGAUUUUAUUCUAUGUUUCAAAUUUCUUAAGAUAUUUUUGGAAAUUGCUACACUUGUUGAAGAAAAAUAUUUAGAAAAAAAAACCCUUUAAAAUAUACCAACAUUUGGUGAAGUGCAAAACUCAAAUGAUUAAUGUGAAAAUGCCUUGGAUAAAGUUAGUAAUUCGACAUUCACUAAUAUUUUAAUUUUUUAAAGAGGCGUGCAAAUAGUUCAAAAUUUACAGUUAAAAANCACAAGACGAUAAGGCGAGGGUCCAGCACCAUGUGAUGCCACCAACCAGUGUCGGCAAUCAAGGCCGACAAAAGAAGGUGGAUGUCAUACUCAAGCAAGCUGGCCACAAAGAUGGAAUCCGAGGCCACCAACCGAGCAAUAAUAGAGGGGCUCAAACCUCUAUAUAAACACAAGAGCUGGAGAGAAGAAGAUCAUCAGAAAAAUCCACAACAUUUUCACAGACCACUUCCUCUCUCUAGAAAAUUAUAUUUGUAAUUUUUAAUUUUUAGUUUUCAAAGUUUUUCGUUUAAGUUUUGUUUCUUUUUAUUUUUAUGUACACAAGGAUUAGCUACUAUGAGUAGCUAAACAAGUUGUCUCCUCCCUUGGGGAAGAUUUUUAUGAAAUAAAUUAAUUAUUAUAUAAUUCCUCUAUAAACGCUUAGUUUUUGUCCAACUAUUCCGGGUUGAGUAAAAAUAUUUUCUUUAUUUUCCAACAAAGUAUUGAGUCGGCACUUAGUGAAGGAGAAGGGUUGCAACCAUCACUUGCGAGUGCGUGGUUGGUGCGUGCCGGGGAGGCAGACGAGCCGUAAAACGCAACAAGACUGACUCCUGAAGAAGACCAGUCGACAAAGGUAUAAUGUUGGUUUAAUUAAGAUUUAUUUUGAAGUGUUACGGAAGCAUGUUGGGCCUGAUAAUUUGUUUUUAGACAUUAUAAUUUUUAGAAUACUCAUAAGGAUUUUAUUGUACUGAAAGUAAAACAUUUUGGGGUUUUGUGAUAUUUUGGUUAACAAUUGGGGAUAGAAUUCUUAUUAAAGAGAAGCUGGCGUGUCAAAAAUGGACAGAAUGCUAAGUUCAUGUAUUUUAUUGGAUUUUCCUAAGUUGAUGUUAAAAAUGGAAUUUCUCCAUAGUUGGUGUAUUUACACGCAAAUUUCCCUAAAAAUAAACACUAUCUUUAUUCAUAUCAAUAAUUAUUUUUUCUUAUCAAUUCAAUUGAUUAAGAAUAACCGUAUCACAUGCUAAGAAAUUACAAUGAUGAUGAAAGCCAGAAUAGAGGCACAGCUAAUUAACACUGUCAUCCUUCAAUCCUUACAAAUACUAAAGCUUUAAUAGGUUUGUCAUAUGAAAUUGAACCAGAAAGAUCAUGAAAAGGCAAAAGAACAAACAAGAUAAGGAAAAAUGAGGUAAGACAUGAGAAGGCAAAAGAACAAACAAGGCGCAAUGGCAAAGAGCUAAAUCACAUACAUACAUAUACAUAUAAAAAACAUACGUGAUCCCAAUGAGCCAAAUCAUUUAGUAUCUAUAUACACUUUGUCAUGUAACAUUUAUUGAUACACCACAACUAAAGAACAAAUUGUGUUUGUACAAAUGAAAAUACAAAAUCUGGAUACACAUUGAUUAAUGAAACGAAUGAACAAUAGGAGAAUGGGGUUCGAGUUUGACAUUAGAUGUUGGGUUCUUGGGGGUGAGUCGACGGCGGCGACUGCCUUUGAUUCACAGAGAGGGAGAUGGGGCUCUGGGUGUGCGGUGGCUGGUUUCCCUGGCCGCAAUUGGGAGAAGGGGGGCGGUCAAUGAUUUGGGGCUGGGGCUCAGAGUUUUAGAAUCAGAGGGAGAAGAGAGUUGAGAGGUGUCGGGCGUUCGACGGCUUGUUGCUGGUGCACGCCGGAGUUCAGAGACCGAGGGGGAAGGGUGAGAGUAACCGGCAACAGUCGUGUUGUCGGAGAAGAGGGAGAGAGGCAGGGGGUGCUGCGCCGCCGUCUGUGUUUCGGUGUAGGUGUGUGUCCUGGAGUGAGAGAAAGAUGUGGGAUGACGGCGGUGGUCGGGGCGGCGACUGCUACUGCCGGUGCGGAGAAGAGAGGCGGCGCUUUCUAUGCGGCCUUGUGUGAAGAUUAGAGAGAGGAGAGUGAGGGAGAUAAAAGAGAGGGGAAAAAUUAGCUGGAUAUUAGAGUGGGAAGGGGUACGGGUCGCGGAUCUAGACGCGGGUCGGGUCGGGUCGGGUCAAACCCGUCUCAUAGGGUGAGGUUAACC